UCAACUGGGAAAUCCUUUUAGAACUACCUUCUGAAGGGUCUUCACUUUUUCCCUUAAGGAAGAAGCAGUGUCUACACCUGAAAGCAGCUCCUAACGUUGCUCUCGCCCAGUCAGGCAGUGGCGGCCGCUUCACGCUGCGUGGAGCCCAUCGGUGGAGGCGUCUAACGGCCCAGUGUCCCGUCCCCUCCCAGAUGGUCCCGCAGGCCGCCGGCGUCCCCUUCCCGGCCCAGGCUCUGCCCUUGCUCCCUCCUCCUGCGGGCCCCGGACUCAGCCUCCGCGCAACGCGCCGCGCAGAGCACGGUGCCGAAAGCGAUCGGGCCGGGGCGGCCGAGCGGAAAUUACGGGCAGAGACUGGCGCAGCCGCCCCGAUGAGGCCGCCCCCAGCGGCGCCCCCUGGAGGCGGGACGCGGUAGCAGCCCGCCCUGGCCAUGCAGGUGUCUGGCCCGCUCCCGAGCCAGGCGCACACCUGGGGCACCCCGCUGCAGACAGGAUUGGUGGCUUACACAGGAACCCUUCGCAAGUCAACUGCUCUGGUGGGUUUAGGAACUGAGAUGACUCAAGGAGGCUGUCAGAUUGCAUCCAAAUGUUACAGAAACACUCAGAAGGCCCAGCAGGACCAUACCUGUUGAGAAGAGGCUCCAAAGGUGGCAGGAAAUCUGCAACUUCAAGCAAGUAACUCUGUUCAGGGUGCAGUGGAGAAUGAACAAAGGCCAAAAGACAGAAGAGGGCUGCUGAAGACACCCAUGGAAGUGUCAUUUUCAGUUGGCAUCAAUGACUCAUUUCCAGGACUCUCAAGGUAGAAGAUGGGGCCUACUUAAUGUACCCCAAGAACCCAUAACCCCCUUGGCACCCUAGAAGCAUCCCAUUCAGCUGGAAAAAAAUAAGCAGAGACGGCCACCUGUCAUCUAUGCCUUGCAGCACUGCAUACAAUCAUGACCAAAUGCCCCCGAUGUGGGUGAGCUGAAUUUUGCACUUCCUUCACAUAGUACUCACUUCCAAUGGGGUCACUAAGAAGCACAGCAAGGGGUUUUCUUACCUGAUCAUUACUGGCCAUGGCUGGCUGGCUGGUCCCUUUCUACCAUAAUGCCGAGAAAUAAAGAAGCCUAAUGUUCUUGCUGACACCUGUCGGAGCAGCUAGUCAUGCCUUCUAUAUUCGUGUCCCUAAUCAGGAUCAAACGCUAGCCUUAAACAACCAGAGCUGGUGGUUUGGGGACAUGGCUCCUUCUACCUGCACCUUCUGUGAGUUUUUCCAGGUGGCUUUCCUACUCCAGGAUCGUGCAUUAUAUAAAAUAUAAGAAGACCAGUUUACUUGCCCCAUGAUGGCCUGUGGCACUCAUGAGCAACAGGCUGGGAAUUUGGGCAAACAUCUCUGAAACCACCACAUUUCAGACAACAGCUGGCAGAGGAAGAUUUAUACUUGAGAAAUGAGUGAAUCAAGAUAUCAGAAUAACAUCAGGAUGUCAGCAAACAUCACUCAGAAAUCAUUUCAAAGUUAGUGAUUUACAUUCCAAGUUUCAGUAGCUGAAACUCCUUCAAGGAAGCCUAAGAGUUUCCCACCAUCUUAGGUAUGCAGAAAAAAACCCCACACAAAUGGAUUAUAUAGAUUUGUAGGCUUCUAAGUAGCAGGGCUGUUUCUGAUGAUUUUCAAAUAUUUCCAUUUAAAACCUAAAAUUUGAGAAAUAGGAAGGCCAGGGAAUUUAACUCUACUUUAAAAUGUUCCUCUACAUACAAAUGUGUCAACUGGAAGAAACUGAUUUAAAGAUAAAAAGAAAAUCAGGCAUUCUCUGGAGGAUGCUAGAUUCAUUUCUUGAUGCCUUUAACUAAUUUCUCAAAUUCCUGAGUGCGGGCAUCAUUCAGGAGAACGUGCAGUUGCAGUCAGGUUUGGGGGAUGCCGGGUGUUCAGGGCGGUGUA